GAGAGAGCAGUAAUGGUUACUAGUUAGUAUUUCCUUGGAGAGAGAGAGCAGUAGAUGGUUACUAGUUAGUAUUUCCUUGGAGGGGUAGGUGGAGAGAGAGCAGUAGAUGGUUACUAGUUAUUAUUUCCUUGGAGGGGUAGGUGGAGAGAGAGCAGUAGAUGGUUACUAGUUAGUAUUUCCUUGGAGAGGUAGGUGGAGAGAGAGCAGUAGAUGGUUACUAGUUAGUAUUUCCUUGGGGGUAGGUGGAGAGAGAGCAGUUACUAGUUAGUAUUUCCUUGGGGGUAGGUGGAGAGAGAGCAGUUAGUAUUUCCUUGGAGGGGUAGGUGCUUCUUGACGUUUUUCUUUUCUUUUAAAACUUGUGGAAUUUUUCCCCUUUCUGUGGUGUGUGUGUGUGUGUGUAUAAACAGAGAUGUCAUCGACACGUUCUGUACAUUUUAAGAUUUCAUUUGGAUCAGCGCUAGACUAUUGGACACUUGUGUUUUAUUGAUUACUCUGUUUGAGUGUUUUUUCCCCUGCUGCGUGUG